AGGGUUCGAUUCUGGCUCAGGAUGAACGCUAGCUACAGGCUUAACACAUGCAAGUCGAGGGGCAGCAUUGGAGUAGCAAUACUCAGAUGGCGACCGGCGCACGGGUGAGUAACACGUAUCCAACCUGCCGCUUACUCGGGGAUAGCCUUUCGAAAGAAAGAUUAAUACCCGAUGGUAUAAAGAGUUCGCAUGUUCUCUUUAUUAAAGAAUUUCGGUAAGCGAUGGGGAUGCGUUCCAUUAGAUAGUUGGCGGGGUAACGGCCCACCAAGUCUACGAUGGAUAGGGGUUCUGAGAGGAAGGUCCCCCACAUUGGAACUGAGACACGGUCCAAACUCCUACGGGAGGCAGCAGUGAGGAAUAUUGGUCAAUGGACGAGAGUCUGAACCAGCCAAGUAGCGUGAAGGAUGACUGCCCUAUGGGUUGUAAACUUCUUUUAUAAGGGAAUAAAGUGAGGGACGUGUCCCUUUUUGUAUGUACCUUAUGAAUAAGGAUCGGCUAACUCCGUGCCAGCAGCCGC
rnacentral:rRNA from 1 species